AUUGAACGCUGGCGGCAGGCCUAACACAUGCAAGUCGAGCGAGCGGCGGACGGGUGAGUAAUGUCUGGGAAACAGCCGGAUGGAGGGGGAUAACAACUGGAAACGGUAGAUAAUACCGCAUACCAUAAGAUGUGAGCAGAUGGGAUUAGCUGGUAGGUGGGGUAACGGCUCACCUAGGCGACGAUCCCUAGCUGGUCUGAGAGGAUGACCAGCCACACUGGAACUGAGACACGGUCCAGACUCCUACGGGACUCAGCAGUGGGGAGUAUUGCACAAUGGGCGCAAGCCUGAUGCAGCCAUGCCGCGUGUGUGAAGAAGGCCUUCGGGUUAUAAAGCACUUUCAGCGGGGAGGCGUUACCCGCAGAAGAAGCACCGGCUAACUCCGUGCCAGCAGCCGCGGUAAUAC
rnacentral:rRNA from 1 species